GCAGAUAUAGCACAAUGGUUAGUGCUCUAGUCUUCCAAACUAGAGAUGUGAGUUCGAUUCUCAUUAUCUGCU
rnacentral:tRNA from 2 species